AACCGUUUGACUCAUAUAUAGAGAUAGAAGGUCGGGCUUGUGGAGUUAUAGGCUACAUGGUUCUCACUUUUGAUUGGGGGACUGCAAAAUGUACUACAAGUAGGUAAGAAAGGUCUUAUAAGCGUAUUAGUUAUCCACCUCUUUGUCUUAUACACCAUUAACAAGCAU